rnacentral:rRNA from 1 species
GAUGAACGCUGGCGGCGUGCUUAAUGCAUGCAAGUCGAACGGAAAGGCCCGGCGUUUGCGGGGUGCUCGAGUGGCGAACGGGGGAGUAACACGUGUGUAACCCGCCCUUGACUGUGGGAUAACUUUAGGAAACUGGGGCUAAUACCGGGGAGGAGCUACUGCUGCAUGGGGGGGGUUGGAAAGUGUCGGCGGUGGUGGAUGGACUCGCGGCUUAUCAGCUUGUUGGUGGGGUAGGGGCGUACCAAGGCUUCGACGGGUAGCCGGCCUGAGAGGGUUACCGGCCACCAUGGGACUACGAUACGGCCCAGAAGCGUACCGGCGGCAGCAGUCGAGAAUCUUGCACAGUGGGCCGACGCCUGUUGCAGAGACGCCGCGAGCGGAAUGACGGCUUACGGGUUGAAAACCACUUUCGACUGUGACGAGGCGGGAGUGACGGUAAUGGGUAAGAAAGCACCGGCUAACUACGUG